rfam:Cariama cristata contig47059, whole genome shotgun sequence.
UAACAGGUUUUUUUUAAAGCCACCCUGCUGUUAAAAUAAUUUAACU